AGUGCCAGUGCCAGUGCCAGUGCCAGGCAUUGCUUUGCAUGGACACACUAUGCCUGAUGUCGCUUCCACUAAUCCAAACUCUCAAGUGAAUGGCUCUCCUUGCUACACACCAUCCCUGUCCAUUCACCACACCAACUCACCAACUAGUAUCUCUUUAAACUAUCUUCCAUACCCUCUUUCCCUCUCUCCCUUCUCCCCACAAUGGCAACUCUUCAUUCCCUGGCGUUUGCCUCUCCUGUCUCUCACACCUUGCUCAACCAACCGCGUUCUCUUUCAGGAAUACCAUCUUGGAUUGUUCACCGGAGUGCGAAUUCGCUCUUCAAUGGGCAAUCUUUACAAUUGGCCCAUUCACAGCUGUCUCCAACAAGAUGGAACUCUCAGAAAUGUGGACCAAUAACAAUGAUGGUUAAACCAACAAUUCAGUUCAUUCAAGGAACUGAUGAGCAGACGAUACCGGAUGUGAGGUUAACCAAGUCAAGAGAUGGUACAAAUGGCGUUGCUAUAUUCAGAUUUGAGCAACCGUCCGUUUUUGACUCAUCGGGUGAAGUUGGUGACAUCACUGGUUUUUACAUGAUUGAUGAGGAAGGGGUUCUUCAGUCAGUUGAUGUGAAUGCCAAAUUUGUAAAUGGGAAGCCUGCAGGAAUUGAAGCAAAGUAUAUAAUGCGUUCUCCCCCAGAGUGGGACAGGUUCAUGAGAUUCAUGGAGCGAUAUUCUAAUGAAAACGGCUUGCAGUUCAUCAAAAAAUGAGGCAAUGUAUAUUCUUCUCUUGUCGUACUCUUUGCUUCCCUCAGUUUCGUCGUUGGUGUUGUGUAAGUUUUGUCAAGUAUAACUUGAAGCCUGGGUUAAAUCCCAUGUAGGUUUUAUGCGGAUGCCUUAAUGGGUUAGAUCCUAUGUAGGUUUCAUGAAAAUAACUUAUCACUUCCUUCUAGCCAGCAAAGUUUUGUGGUCUGUUCUAUCUUCAAUUUGUACACUUCAUUUUCAUGUGUGUCAAGAUGACUGCUGGUAAUUCUUCAUUUGAUAACUAACUAGGAUUAUGUUAUCAGAGCUGGAUAUCUCAGAAGAGAUGUUUUGCGGAUUUAGUUGUUGUACAUGAACGUGGAAAUAACAGCCAGAAAUGCACUGUGUGGAUGUUUCUAAGUAACAAUGUUGUUACUUAGUAGUUCUUGAUAGAUGACUGUUCACAGGAAACAAAAAUGAUAUGGAAGAUGUUUAGUAAGGAAGAGCUCGAAAGUCCAAUUGUAUGUUAUAAAAUGGAAGUUAUUAUUAUCA